GUUAAUAAUAUGAUUAAUCGUGAGAUAGAAUUAGUUUUCUUAACCAAAACCAUAAUUUAACAGCCAGUGGUGAUCUUGUUGAACUGAAAGAAAUUCUUUGAAAAGUACUGCUAAUGCUUGAGUGUCAGAUUCAGAGAUCCAUAUCUCACAGAGAAAGAUUUUCAGGUGUUGAAGUUAAUAUCAACUUCUUUUUCAGGUACUCCACUGCUGAAGCUAGCCAAUGUAGAAGUUGACAUAAAAUUCCAGUAAAUGGUGAGAAGCUUUAAAUCUGUGACCUCAUGGAAUUUAGGAUCUUAGGAGGAAAGCUCAUGGCACCAAUUUCUGUCUCUGGGUGAUUCAUAGGAAAUAUAGGAGAAAGAACUCACCAGCUCUGCUCCGAGUGCCCACAACUUUCAGCGUAAGGUCAGUGCCCUUGGGAUUUUGUCUAAAUGUCUUAUUUCUACAGGAGGCGGAAGCGAAGCAAGGAACUAUACCUCUGUCUUCAAGUGUUGUCAUGAAUUUUGGAUUGUCAGCUGAAAACACAAACAGAAAAACAGCAGCUGCAGGUAA